AUGGCAACAUUAUAUGGCUUUACCGAUGAAAAAGUGAAGGCAUGUCUUUCUCCUCACCCCAAGGUAUUAGACGAAUUUGUAUCUGAUAGUGUUAGUGCAGAGAGAGUAGAGAAAUGGCUGAAGAGGAAGAACAACAAAUCAGAAGACCUGCCAAUGCCCCAGGCCAUUGUGCAGCGGGCCCCAGCCCCCAGUCGAAUGCAGAUGCUGCAGGGAAACCCACUGCUGCUGUCCCACAGCCUGCAGGAGCUGCUGGCCAGGGAGGUGGAGGUGGAGACGGAGCUCAUUCCGGAGAAGAAGGGCCUCUUCCUGAAGCAUGUGGUGUAUGAGGUUUCCAGCUUCAAGUCCUCCGUGUACAGACGGUACAACGACUUCGUGGUCUUCCAGGAGACGGUCCUGCACAAGUUCCCCUACUGGAUGGUGCCUGCCCUGCCAUCCAACAGGAUGCUGGGAGCUGACAGGGAGUUCGAGGCCAGGAGGAGAGCUCUGAAGCGCUUUGUUCUCCGAGGAUGUAGUUCUCAAGCUCUUCCUGUCCUUCAGCGGCGUGCAGAACAAGUUAAAGGAAUCGGCACAGUGUUCUGGGGACGAAUUCAUGAACUGUAAGCUGGCUACCAGGGCCGAGAUGUCGUCCCAGCUGACAUCCAAGCUCAGUUUGCCAUCAGCCGGGAGCUGAUCCGGAACACCUACAACAGCUUUCACAAGCUUCGGGACAGGGCUGAGCGGAUCGCGUGGAGGGCCAUCCACAAGGCGGCAGAUCUUCUCAUAUUCGGGAAGGAGCAAAGUGCCACAGGGUCUGACACGACCCCGCUGCCCUCCUGGGCCGCUCUGAACAGCAGCACGUGGGGGUCCCUGAAGCAGGCUCUGAAAGGCCUGUCUGUGGAAUUCGUGCUGCUGGCAGACAAGGCUGCACAACAGGGUAAGCAGGAGGAGAAUGACGUGGUGGAGAAGCUGAGCCUCUUCUUGGAUCUGCUGCAGUCGUAUAACGACCUGUGUGAGUGGCACGAGAAGGGUAUGCUGCACAAGCACCAGCGGGCCUUGCACAAAUACAGCCUGAUGAAGAGGCAGAUGAGUGCCGCUGUGCAGAACCGCGAGCUGGAGUCCGUGGAGCAGCUGGAGUCCCGCAUUGUGGAGCAGGAGAAUGUGAUUCAGACCAUGGAGCUGCGGAACUACUUCUCCCCGUACUGCCUGCACCAGGAGACGCAGCUCAUCCACGUCUACCCACCCCUCACCUCCCACAUCCUCCCAGGUCCAAGGGCACAAGGAGAUGAGCAAGGUGUGGAACGACCUGAGACCCAAGCUCAGCUGCCUCUGCAGGACCACACAGCGCUCUGACCCCACCGCGUUCCCCGCCGCAGUCCCCCCGGAGGACGGCCUGUGUCCUCACUAGCGCGAGGCUAAGGCAGUGCUCCCUGCGGCCACACUAAAACCUCUUUC